UUGACCUCAAAUCAGGUAGGACUACCCGCUGAACUUAAGCAUAUCAAUAAGCGGAGGAAAAGAAACUAACAAGGAUUCCCCUAGUAACUGCGAGUGAAGCGGGAAAAGCUCAAAUUUAAAAUCUGGCAGUCUUUGGCUGUCCGAGUUGUAAUCUAGAGAAGCAUUAUCCGCGCUGGACCGUGUACAAGUCUCCUGGGAUGGAGCGUCAUAGAGGGUGAGAAUCCCGUCUUUGACACGGACUGCCAGGGCUUUGUGAUGUGCUCUCAAAGAGUCGAGUUGUUUGGGAAUGCAGCUCAAAAUGGGUGGUAAAUUCCAUCUAAAGCUAAAUAUUGGCGAGAGACCGA
rnacentral:rRNA from 1 species